GCAUUAAUGGGGUAGUGGUAACCUGGGUCGUUGCCAUCUCAGUAGGAUUGUGUCGUGUCGACCCGCCGGGGGUUCGAUUCCCCCUUAAUGCA